rnacentral:lncRNA from 1 species
GGCCUUUUCAAAUCUUGGUUAAACUAGUUUGAUGUUGCUGCUAUGACAUUGAUUUGUGUCAGGAUAUCAUCCCAUGUGCUGCCUAAACUCAUCCUGGGGGUUCCCUUCGUGGGAUAACCAGCCUCAUAUAACCAACAUUCAAAAGUCUAAUUAGUGCAUGAAGGGGUUAAUACCAUAGAGUAAGCUGUCCUGCCAGGCUUAGCUAUGUCGGCUUCCCCUCACCUUGGGAGGAACUAGGUAAUCAAGUCUAUUGUUCUCUCUCAGUCUGCCUGAGAAUCUCCGCAUGCAAAGAUGUUUCAGCUGGUUGCUCUAGCUCAGACUGCAUGGCUCUCGCAUGCCACUCUUGAGUUCCCGUACCAAUAAUUUAGGAACUUUCACCACUGUAACUAAGCCAAGUUUUACUGCCUGUGCAACUUUCUGAAGCACACGAAUCUGACCUUUGGUGUUUUUCUAUGCUAGGGAAAGAGGGAAACUUUGGAUCUCAAUUUAAAUGGCAUAUUUUAAAGGUCUAACAGCCUAUAUUUCAACAUUUUACUUUGCUGCAUAUUUUGUGAUUUUAAUUAUCUGCUGGGGUUCUCUCACCAAAGAGUACUUGCUCCAAACUUGGAUACUGGCAUCCAAGAAUUCUUCUUUUAUACCUAUUUUCCCCCCUUGAACCCCAACCCUCCAGAAUAGAUUUGGGAACAGCAAAGGGUACACUCAGAACAGAAAGGGGGAAAUCCUGUUAGCAUAACACUAAUCCUUCCACUACCACAACUAUUUAGUUGAAUAGCAUCUCUUACGUUUAUUGUCCUGCCAUUUCCUUUUUUAUUGUGGAUUUUGAUGGUUGAUUUGAUUGGUUUUUAUACCUUGCCAGCUGCCCUGGGAGCAGUAAUGCUGCAGGGCAGAGGAAAAGAUCUUCCAGAUAAAUAAAAUAAAAAUAGCCUUGGCCCCAAGACAGCAAUUCUUGGCUUCUACUGUUGGUUGAAUUCCGUGGACCAUGGCAGAGAGUCUUUCUGGAGUUUUGGAACACAGGAGGGUCAGCAACAUGGAACUUUAUCAUAAAUACCAUCAUCAUCAUUAUCACCAUUUCAAUUUAUGUACUGCCCUUUAGCAAAAGAUCUCAGGGCAGUGUACAACACUGGAAACACGUUAAAAAACAUCAAUGAUAAAAACAUAGUAAAAAACAUACUGACAGACAGCCUAAUAGUAAAAUAACCAUAAUACAGUGGUGCCUCGCAAGACAAAAUUAAUCCGUUCCGCGAGUCACUUCGUCUUGCGGUUUUUUCAUCUUGCGAAGCACAGCUAUUAGCGGCUUAGCGGCUAUUAGCGGCUUAGCGGCUAUUAGCGGCUUAGCGGCUAUUAACGGCUUAGCGGCUUUAAGAAAAAGGAAACAAACUCGCAAGAACUCGCAAGACGUUUCGUCUUGCGAAGCAAGCCCAUAGGGAAAUUCGUCUUGCGGAACGACUCAAAAAACGCAAAACCCUUUCGUCUAGCGAGUUUUUCGUCUUGCGAGGCAUUCGUCUUGCGGGGCACCACUGUAAUAACAGUCCUCUCCCACACACAUUUACAGGCCAUAGAUUAUUUAAUAGUCAUAGGCCUGGGUAAAAAGGAACAUUUUUGCCUGGCGUCUAAAGACCAGUAAUGAUGGCACCGGGUGAGCCUCUCUGGGGAAAACAUUCCACAAUUGGGGAAUCACCACAGAAAAGGCCCACUCUCCAAACCCUCCAAACUUCUCUGGGUUGAGGGACAUAGAGAGGGGCCUCAGAUGACAAGCUCAGGGUCUGGGUCAGUUUGUAUAAUAAUAAUAAUAAUAAUAAUAAUAAUAAUAAUAAUAAUAAUUUAUUUAUACCCCGCCCAUCUGGCUGGGUUUCCCCAGCCACUCUGGGUGGCUUCCAACAAAGUAUUAAAAUACAGUAGUCUGUUAAACAUUAAAAGCUUGCCUAAAGAGGGCUGCCUUCAGAUGUCUUCUAAAAGUCUGGUAGUUGUUUUCCUCUUUGACAUCUGGUGGGAGGGCGUUCCACAGGGCGGGUGUCACUACCGAGAAGGUUCCCUGUAACUUGGCUUUUUGCAGUGAGGGAACCACCAGAAGGCCCUCAGGUCUGGACCUCAGUGUCCGGGCUGAACGAUGGGGAUGGAGACGCUCCUUCAGGUAUACUGGACCGAGGCUAUUUAGGGCUUUAAAGAUCAGCACCAACACUUUGAAUUGUGCUCGGAAACAUACUGGGAGCCAAUGUAGGUCUUUCAAGACCGAUGUUAUGUGGUCUCGGCAGCCGCUCCCAGUCACCAGUCUAGCUGCCGCAUUUUGGAUUAGUUGUAGUUUCCGGGUCACCUUCAAAGAUAGCCCCACGUAGAGCACAUUGCAGUAGUCCAAAUAUGCGGAGAGGCGGUCCUUAAAGUAUUAAUAAAAGAACUCUUCCAUGUCAAAUAAAAAUGGGCUGAAUCCAAUGCUCUGUUAGCUGAGUUCUGCUUACCCAAAGGGACUUUUGUUUCCUCUCCUCCUUCUACACAUACCCCAGAUUUGCUCUGGAGGGUCGGCCAAUAUCCCAGAGCUGAUUUCAAGGUUGUACGGAGAGUUUGAGGGGACAGGAGACAAGAGAGGAAGUUCCACUGCAUGCAUGGAAGUCUGUUGCAUGGGCCAAGUUGUAACACUGAAUACAUCCCAAUGUGUUGACAGCCUGCUUAAUGUUCAUGGCGCAAUCCAUUUGGAUGCUACAAAUGGAUCUAAAAGCUCCAGCUUCAGAUGUCCGUUGGGGACAAGCAGGACCUACUCCAUACUAGUUUUACCACAUCAGCUGGCAAAUAUUCAUCCCCAUACAACUCUUGAGGAGGAUUGGGGGGGGGGAGAGAAACCUGGAGCGUAAGCCAAUAAAAUCCAAAUUUCUGUUCGUCAGAGCUGCAAUUAUACAGGCCUGCUUCAGAGAAACCAGUGAAAUGAAUGCAAAUUUGCACAAACUUGUCUACGUUGUGAAUCUUUUUCCUGAUGCAGUGUUUUUCUUUUUGCAUAUUUAGAAGAGAAGUAACUGCAGAAAGAGAUGAGCAACUGAGGAACAGAUGCCCCUCUAUAGAUCACUUGGAACAUGGCUGGAGGCCAUGGCAGUAUAAAGACAUAUGGUGGAAGACAUAUAGCCUCAAGUAUGCAGAUGUUUCGCUCGGGAGUACCAAAGUCUUCCACAGAUUCUGACUGGACUUCUUCAUACCCCUCUGCAAACAUGAAGCUUGGCUAUUCAUUCUUUCUUUCUUUCAUCUGUGAAUGAAAGCUUCUACUGGGC